ACAACGUUUCCUAGGGUUUCAUAAAUCAAUUAUCGUUUACUCGCAACAGCUCUUGCUCAAUUCCGCUAGGGUUUCAGAGGGACUUGAAUCAUUCAACACCGGUUGAACAGCGAUUCUGUCGUGAUGUGAUCGAACAUCUUAUGAGAUCGUGCAAUUGGAAUCGUUCAACAUCGAUUUAAUCAGGUUCAAUCAUCCUGCAAUUAGAAUUUUUCAUCGGCGAUUCAAUCAGACGCAAUCAUUCGUGCAUUUGCAAUUGGAACCUUCUCUAACAUCAUUCAAUUGGAAUCAUCAUUCUGAAAUAAGUCGAAAUCAUUGUUCAAUUGGAAUCAUCAUUCGGAGAUCUGGUUUCAAUCAAUUCUCUAUUCACUCGGUACGUCGUGCUUAAACAUCGAAGGCGGCUGGUGGAUUUCAAUCGGUGAUUCAUUUGAAUAUCUUGUUUUCAAGUUUAGUUGAUCAUUUAAUCAAUCUACACAGAUUCAAUAUCUCUGAAUAUUUAUCAGGAAUUCGUAUUUAUUGUUGGAUAAGGUUAAAUCUGGUUGCUGAUUUUGGGAGAUUAGUAGAGAAUGGAGAAAUCGAGUGCUUUAGACUACAUCAACCAUAUGUUUCCUACAAUUCACCUUAUUUUAUAAUAGGGCUGGCGUAAGCUUAUGUCUGCAGCAGUGUGAUACACGGUCACUGAUUUGGAUCCAUCCAACCGAUGCUCCAAGCCAUUUUAGAUGGCAGACAUCUGCCAAAGUUGAAUUAUUAAAGGUCUGGAUGCUCCCUUUGUGAAUACUACUGAUUAAUAUGUUUAUUGCUUACUUCUGUUUCGUAGUCAAUUUUUACCUCUACUAUAGUUAAAGACUGAUGGAUACCGUUGGAAUGAAAGUACUGGCAAACAAUCGUAU